rnacentral:misc_RNA from 1 species
UACGAAGGGUGCAAGCGUUGUUCGGAAUCAUUGGGCGUAAAGCGCGCGCAGGCGGAUUGAUAAGUCAGGUGUGAAAUCUCGGGGCUCAACCCCGAAACUGCGCCUGAAACUAUUAGUCUAGAAUGUCAGAGGGGGUAGGGGAAUUUCACGUGUAGGGGUAAAAUCCGUAGAGAUGUGAAGGAACACCGGUGGCGAAGGCGCCUACCUGGAUGACUAUUGACGCUGAGGCGCGAAAGCGUGGGGAGCAAACAGG